rnacentral:lncRNA from 10 species
CUGGGGUUCAUGGCAGCACCUGGAGAAUGGGCUUCCCCAAAGCACCAGGCCAUGCACCUCAAAGCUGGACAUGAGUUGACCAAGGUUUCCCUUUGCCCACAAAGAGGGAUGCAGUAACAUGUCAGAUGGUGGUUUGCAUCCCUUUUUUUUGAGAUGGAGUCUCGCUCUGUCUCCUAGGCUGCCGUGCGGUGGUGCAAUUUCAGCUCACUGCAACCUCCGCCUCCCAGGUUCAAGCGAUCUCCUGCCUCAGCCUCCCAAGUAGCUGGGACUAUGGGCGUCUACCACCAUGCCCCGCUACUUUUUUUUGUAUUCUUUUAGUAGAGAUGG